ACUGCCCCUAGAAGCAUUGUAGGUGUGGCUGCUGUAUCACAAAUAUACCAGUAAGUGGCAGAGAGGAGAGGGAAUAUGUCUACAUUCAAUGAUCUGACCUGUGAACAUCUGAAUAAUUAGAAGCCUAACAUU